UUAAUGCAAUUCUCCUUAAUGCAAUUCUCCUUACCAGUAAGUGUUCUGACAACUACAAACAUGAACUCUCACAAGUUUUUAAUUUAUUGACAAGGGAUAAAUAAGAGAUAACAACUAUUGCUUACACCAUAGCCUAUUAGUGUCGGUAACGUUACCUACCAUCACACGUUACGGGCAAAGUUGCCGACAGUAGAUUCUUCUCCUGCAAGC